GACGAACGCUGGCGGCGUGCCUAAUACAUGCAAGUCGAACGAGGGCAACCGGUGCUUGCACUGGUCAAUCUAGUGGCGAACGGGUGAGUAACACGUGGGUAACCUGCCCAUCAGAAGGGGAUAACAUCCGGAAACGGAUGCUAAAACCGCAUAGGUCUUCGAACCGCAUGGUUUGAAGAGGAAAAGAGGCGCAAGCUUCUGCUGAUGGAUGGACCCGCGGUGCAUUAGCUAGUUGGUGAGGUAACGGCUCACCAAGGCCGUGAUGCAUAGCCGACCUGAGAGGGUGAUCGGCCACAUUGGGACUGAGACACGGCCCAAACUCCUACGGGAGGCAGCAGUAGGGAAUCUUCCGCAAUGGACGCAAGUCUGACGGAGCAACGCCGCGUGAGUGAAGAAGGUUUUCGGAUCGUAAAACUCUGUUGUUAGAGAAGAACAAGUGCUAGAGUAACUGUUAGCGCCUUGACGGUAUCUAACCAGAAAGCCACGGCUAACUACGUG
rnacentral:rRNA from 1 species